rnacentral:misc_RNA from 1 species
CAUCUUUGCAACGAAAAUGAAAUUUUAAACGUUGUUGACAUGUUGUGGUUGUUUUCCUCCUAAAGAGUGUUUGUUGACGUUGUGAUAGAAGUACCGGGGAAUAUUCUAUGAAUUGACAAGAAACAUAUGACAUUGCAUAUACAGGAAGGAGGAGCAAUGACUCAAAGAUAGACCACACCAAGCAGACGCAGUGACAAAAAUGGAAUAAGGAGCCAGUUUACCAACAUUACCACGUUAGCUGGUGACAAUUUCACCUUACUCAUAAGAUAUUUCUGGCAGGCUUUGGUUCUUGUAUUCUUAACUGCUAUACAAAAGCACGAAUGAUUCACACCAGACGGGCUCCAAAUGGAGAGCCAAAAACACAAAGAAAGAAUCUUAGGAAAGCAAGGGUUCAUACAGGGACCUCAGUGCCUAAAGAGCAGAAUAUGAAUCAUAUGGAUGGAAUAAGCUAUUUAAUGAAUGGCACUAAAGUCAAGAUUUCUGUAUCACCAAGGGAGAUGUGGAAGAAGCAUUUGGAAGACAGUUCAGUCACAGAAAAUUUCAUCCCAGAUACAACUAGAGUUGAGGAAACAGCACACUGUUCAGAGAAAUUUCUUGAGAUGUCAAAUUCUGGUCAGUAUCUUUUGGCACAUAUGAGGGAGACUUCAAGAAUUUCCCCUGGAUCAGAUGGUUCAUCCUCUUUAUCAGAUAAUAGUCAUCAGCUCAAAAGCAGUUGUAAGAGAGGUCAACUUUCAAAUUCAAAUAAUGAGGAACAAACAAAUUCAAAGAAUGCAAUUGAUUACAAUGUUGAUACGGACAUACACUUAAGGAAGAAAAAGAAACCACGAACAAGUGGCAGAAAACCACAAAUAUAUGAUGACGCACUUGACAUAAGCGAACACCAUACUCAGACAAGAAGAGAAGGAGAGAUGAGUAAUAGCAUGGAAUCAUCAGAUACUAGUUUUUCCAAAAAUAAAACACCAGAACAUAAACUCAAGAAGAAGAAAUAUGCAGUAAUAAAGCAGGAUUUAUUUGAUAUAACAUCACCUACUGUUUUACAUCAGACGAAGCAACUUAUGAAAGAUACUUGGAAGAAGACUGGUAAUCUUAAUGUAGAUCCAGAAAUCACCAAGAGUUGUGACCAACCAAAAAUAUUUGAAUCAAGAUCAAGUGCAGACUCUAUUUUGAAUGUGAGACCAAAAAAUGCAUUGAGGAAGAGGGUGCCAAGGGCUCAUGGGAAAAAUCCUUAUGAAUCUCUGAUGGGUACCAGCAAUAACGUUGAUCCUAUAGCUGAAUUAGAAAAUAAAACUGGAAAUGUUUCUUCAGGAUCAGCUAGUAGCAUUGCUCCAGUACCUAAAAAUGUCAGAUACAAUUUUAAGCAGAUACAUCUGAAGCGUUGUAUGUUUGAUUCAGUAGUUGAGAAUCCUGUUGCUGAGGAUUCUGUUCGGAACAUGGAGGCGAAUGUAGAUGACCCAUGUACCAGUGAGCAACAGAAUAAAGAUAUUUCUGCUGAAAUGGAUGUUCGAAAAGCUCCUGCAUUUGCCAAAAUUGUUGGCAAAAGAAACAAAAAAUAUUUUCAGCCCAAUUACUCUGAAUCAGUUGUUGGAAAUAAUGAUGGGAGUGCUGAGCAAAAUAUUGAGAAGCAGAACAAUGAUAUUGCCUUGGCUGAGAAUUAUGCUGAAAAUACAUUGGCAGCUAGUAUUUCUGCAGAAAUGGAUGUUCUGAAAGCUCCUGCAUCUGCUAAAAUCAUUGGCAAAAGAAACAAAAAACAUCUUCAGCCUAAUUACUCUGAAUUGGUUGUUGGAAAUAAUGAUGAAAGUGCUGAGCAAAAUAUUGAGAAGCAGGACAGUUACAUUGCCUUGGCUGAGAAUUAUGCAAAAAAUACAUUUGCAGGUAGUAUUUCUGCAGAAAUGGAUGUUAUGAAAGCUCCUGCAUCUGCUAAAAUUGUUGGUAAAAGAAACAAAAAACAUCUUCAGCCCAAUUACUCUGAAUUAGCUGUUGGAAAUAAUGACAAAAGUGCUGAGCCCACUGUUGAGAAACAGCACAGUGAUAUUGCCUUGGAUGAGAACUAUGCCCAAAAUGGAUUGGCAGCUAAUACAAAGGAAAGUGUAGAAGUUUCUGCUACAAAUUUAUUUAUAAUGAAGGUACUUGGAAAGAAAAUUGAUCCAGUGUCACCACACACAUUCGAGCUUUCAGGAAUGCAGGGGGAUUCACAUAAAAAUCAUAACUUAGAAGGUAGUAGACAAACAAAUGAUGGGGACUAUAACCACUCAGUUGAUAUAUUAGUUAAAAGAAAAGCCUUCCAUGGCCUCAAACAUACCUCUGAAUAUGAUUGUCACACGUUACCUGAAUUUGGCAGACCAGUGGAGUCACCUAGUUAUUCUCUUACAAUCUCUAAAUUCAAACCAAAAAUUACAUCUUCUAAGAUCGUUGUGGAUAAAGAUGAGAUUAUAGAACAGUGUCCACCUACUCUGGCUGCACUUCAGCAAGAGGCAACAUCUAACAUGUUAAAAGUAACUCAUAAAGAGAAACAAACGUAUCAGUCAGAUAACCCCAUUGCUCACCAGCCAAGAGUUUCAGAUCAUGAGAGUGAGGAAACUAAGUGUAAGGAAAGAAAGAAAUGUUAUAAUAGUGUUUGUGACAACACUCUGUCAUCAGAUUUAACAUUUGAUCCAGACAAUGUACCACAUUCAACAAUGGUGAAAUCAAGCAGUAAGAAGGAACAUCCACCUUCUGCCAUGUGCAAAAUAGAGACCAAAACGAGAAGGAGCCUGGCAGCUUCAUUUCUGGAGUUAGCACAUGUUUCCACAGAAAGUAGUGAAACAGUUAGGUCAGGGACAGAGAAGGCAGGUAUCAGAAAUAAUAAUUUCACAUUAAAUGGCAGGGAAAGUGGAAAUGAACCAAUUAUUGAAAGUAAAAUAAAUGACAAUGGAAUGAAACACAGUGAAUUAGAAACAAAUGAGCAUCACUCAAAUACUGUAAGAAAAGAUGCCAGUUUUGCUAACAAAAUUCCUGUGCCAGAAAACUUAGAUGCUGUGUCAGACCACAAACCCAUUACAGAAAGCAUUCCCUCAAAUGUUUUGAAUUUCCUAACAUCAAACUACAGGACAUCAGAACAGUCUGCUGGUGAUAAUGAUGUUAGUCAAGUGUUCGGACAUAUGAGAAACAAAACUAAAUACUUGGCAAAAAGUAGAUCCAUAAAUUCUCAAGACGAAUUAAUCAAUGCAGACAGUAAAAAUGAGAAGAAAAAGCAAGGAAACAAUAAAAGUGUUCCUGGUGAACUUGCAAACUCUCCUGAUCAUAUUAUAUACCAAAAAAUAAUUAAGCCUCAAAAUAUGGGGUGUGAUACCAAACAGAGUGUAUCUUUGCCUGGUAUGGGAAGCAUUUCUUCAUACUCUACUAGUAAAGCACAAGAAAAGUGUGACAAUCAUGCUGAAAUUGACCAGAUAUCUCCAUUUAACACAUUUGCUCAGAAAAUUUGUAAUUCAGAAGUUGAAGAGCUUAAUCUGAGAAAGAGUGACAAAGCAAGUUUGAGAGCUGAGAGGAGAAAGUCUUCAAAUUAUUCUUAUGUGGCAGUUUCAUCUAGUAAAUUGAUUGAGACAGAUGUCUCAACUAGCAAAAAAGGCAGUAACGUGAGGAGUAUCACCAAAAUGACAGAUGCUUCCAUAGAAAAUAAAACAGAUUAUGCUGUAGCACCUAAUUUUAGUGAGGAACACUGUACAUCGAAAGGAACACCAGAAUUAAGAAAAUUAUCUUCUCCUUCUCUGUCAGCAUCUCAUAUAAAUAAAACAUCUCACAAGGAAAACUUCUCCUUGAGCAUUAAAAACAGCAGUGAAGUAAGAAAAAAUGUGAACAAAAAUUCAGCAGCUAACAAUGUGUCAAAUGCUAAAAUUGUUAUCUCAGAUUCACCUCGUUUCUCUAAAGCAAAUAAUGGUAAAGGGCAUGAUGAGUACUUGAAAGACAGUUUCCACAGAAACAGACAAACCGAAAAUGAGAAACAAAGUUUUACUGACACCCAACCACAACUGACAGAUGAUGAUGAUGCAAAUGGUGCAGAAGGAGAGACAUCAAUGGUUAUCGGAGGGUUAAGAGAAUUGACUACACCACCUCGCUCAGCAUCUCAGAUAAAUACAUCUCACAAGGAAAACUUCUCGCCGAACACUGAAAACAGCAGUAAAGUGAGAAGUAAGGAAAACAACAAAAAUGCAAUAGUUAGCCCUCUUUCAAAUGCUAAAAUAAUUCACUCAGUUUCAUCUGGUCUGUCUAAUGCAAAUAAUGAUAAAACGCCAAAUGAUGACCACUUCAAAGACAGUAUAAAUAGAAACAGCCAAACGAGAAGUGAGAGACGAAGUUAUGCGGACAACUAUCCACAACCAGUGGUAGAUAAUGAUGCAGAUGGUACAGAGGAGGAGAGACCAGUGAUUAACACAGCGCCUCUGGAGGAAAGUAAAUGUAUUAUUCACCAGAAAAAAUCGGAUCUCAGGCAAACUCAUGGUAAACCAACAGUACAUGCUCGUUUCUUGCUUGACGGUGAACCGUAUCACAAACCUAAACUGGCACGUCCAAAGCCUUGGAUUAAUCAGAGAUUUUAUAAUCAUAUUUUACCAAAAUUUGACGGAAAAUUUGGUCUUAAUAGUAGUGUAAAGUGUGAAGAGUUUGUAAAAGUACUUUGUACCGAAGUUACGGCUUGCAUUCGUAAAAGAAAAAAUUGGGAUGUACAUGUGUACAGUGUACAAAAGUUACUCAGAAAAUACUUAUCAGUAAACACUUAUGCACACUUCCUUAUAUUUGGGGAAAAAUAUUUACCAGAUGAGUUUAUUUUCAAGAAAAAUCCAUGUGCAAUAUUUCAGCUGUUGGCUUGCACUGGAAGCUGCUAAAAAAAUGAUGAAAAAUGACUUUUCACAUGUGGGUUCUGCACCUGAAACUAUCUAAGCAUACAUCCCUGAAAUCCAUGGAACCCACAGAAAGUGGUCUCUGGGAUUUGGAAAGAGGUAUUCUUCAGUGGAGUAGAAAUAGUUGCCUAACAGAAAAUUCUUUCACUCUUCAGCUCCACCAGCUGAUUAGAUGACAUUCAAUGUGCUCUGGUUGUUGAUAGUGUAUGUACCCAAGUACCUGUAAAUUACGUCUGUGAUCUAUGUGUAGUUCUAAAAUGUAACAAUACAUUCUGCUUCUUGGA